UACGGAGGGGGUUAGCGUUAUUCGGAAUGACUGGGCGUAAAGCGCGCGUAGGCGGAUCAGGAAGUUGGGGGUGAAAUCCCGGGGCUCAACCCCGGAAUGGCCUUCAAAACUCCUGGUCUUGAGUUCGAGAGAGGUGAGUGGAAUUCCGAGUGUAGAGGUGAAAUUCGUAGAUAUUCGGAGGAACACCAGUGGCGAAGGCGGCUCACUGGCUCGACACUGACGCUGAGGUGCGAAAGCGUGGGGAGCAAACAGG
rnacentral:rRNA from 1 species